rnacentral:rRNA from 1 species
AGUAACACGUGGGUAACCUGCCCCGGAGCGGGGGAUAACAUUUGGAAACAGAUGCUAAUACCGCAUAACAACGAGAACCACAUGGUUUUCGUUUGAAAGAUGGCUUAUGCUAUCACUCUGGGAUGGACCCGCGGUGCAUUAGCUAGUUGGUAAGGUAACGGCUUACCAAGGCGAUGAUGCAUAGCCGAGUUGAGAGACUGAUCGGCCACAAUGGAACUGAGACACGGUCCAUACUCCUACGGGAGGCAGCAGUU